rnacentral:rRNA from 1 species
CAGUAGCCGCGGGAAUACGUAGGUGGCAAGCGUUGUCAGGAAUUAUUGGGCGUAAAGGGCUCGCAGGCGGUUUCUUAAGUCUGAUGUGAAAGCCCCCGGCUCAACCGGGGAGGGUCAUUGGAAACUGGGAAACUUGAGUGCAGAAGAGGAGAGUGGAAUUCCACGUGUAGCGGUGAAAUGCGUAGAGAUGUGGAGGAACACCAGUGCCGAAGGCGACUCUCUGGUCUGUAACUGACGCUGAGGAGCGAAAGCGUGGGGAGCGAACAGGAUUAGAUACCCCAGUAGUCCCUGUCUCUUAUAC